UACUAACAGUUGCCUCUAGGAGAAGGGGUAACUUAUUUAUUAAUGUCAGCAGCACCCUGUAAACACAGACACCCCCACCUCCCUGACUAUUAAAGUGACAGUAGGUGUGUUACCUGUAUGAGCUCACCUGUGGGCGUGUCACUAGCAACAGACUUGUGUUAGAGUUAGAGUUGCCGAUACAGCAGCAGCAACUUCACUUUGCCCCCCUCUCUCCAAAACAUUUACUGCUUUGUAAAGUGUUUAAUCAAUCCCUGCUUUUUGGCACCAGAUCUCAGCGAGGACUCCUGGAUGCGGAGGUUACCAUCUAAAGUGCAACUGUCACCAGGUUGGAGGAGCUAAUGGCACACAGUAGGCAAAGUAUCUGUAUCCCAGCACCAGAUCCUUAUAAAGUUCCAGCAGAUGAAGACCAACCAGGAAACCCUCAGAUGAUGUUGGCAGAGCAAUCUGAUUUCCUUCCUUCCGUUAGCUUGGCUGGGGUUCUUCUAAUUGUCUUCCUGCUUCUUAUCCCAGUUCUCUUCCCAUCUGUCCAUCCCUUAGGAAGCCAUUCAAUACCCCUUAAUGGGACCUUUGUGCAGCUUCACCCUCUGCUUACUAGCCAACCACUCUCAACCCGUUGGACGUUACAGAAGAUUUUUAGAGGAUUUAGGGUAGAGGGUGUAACAGUGAUUGCAAUAGCACAGGAGGAUGCUGUUCAGACACUUGUUUGUUUCUCCAGCUAUUUAAUAUCCCUCCUAUCACAUAAAAACACUACUGAACAUGUUACCAAAAGGGUCCGACACACCAACUCUGAAUUACAGGCUAUGAACGGUACAAGGACUCCAGACGGCUUCUACGUUUCAGUCAUAAGUCAGAAAAAACAACAAACACCCCAUGGAAUCAUUCUGGGCCCAAGAAGUCCUAAAACUGGUGGAGGACCUCAAUGGAAGAUAACUCUUACCUUAACACAGAUGGACAAUAAGCAGAUAAUGCAUGAGGAAACCUCACUGUUAGCAAGGGAGCUUCUACAAAUUCUACAAACAAAAGGGCAGGUUCCACAGGCUUUUGAGAGAUCGGAAUUAUGGGGAAAGCCGCUCCCUGUCCUAUGGAUUACAGCAAACCCUUAUCUAGAGAGUGGCUAUGUGUGCUGAAGGAUUGAAUAUUAUAUUUUACAUCUACAACUUUGAAAUGCAACUUGCUGUCAUGGAAGUGAAACUCAAAAUCUUAACUUCACUAUAUGGGUCUACUUCUGUUUGAAGGACACCCCAAGUACUCAUCCAUGGGAACAGAGGUAACACCAGCAAGCACUCACUGAAGCCUUUAGGUAAAAAUGGAAACCAGUGGAUAAUAUGAAAUGCCGUCCAUGGCCUCAUUUUCUGACACUCAGAAGAACAAAGAAAACAAUAUCCUUAUAUGUGAACUAAUUGUAUAUGAUGAUGAAAUAUAGCACUGUUACAGAAAAUAUUGGCAUCCCCAGUCAUAAAUAUUGGCCCCAGUUGUAUUAUAUUACAAUAUUUUCUUUCUUAUAAGCACUAGAGUAUUUUUACAUUUUGUUUGUUGACUCAACUGUCCCUCUACUAUAUGAUUUAAAAUGACAUUUAUUUCUGUUUAUGUAUUACUCGUUGUUAAAGGCAAGAAAACCCCAAAGCACUGAAUUCCUGGUUGAAAGAUUUUAGGCAAAGCUUUGUUCAACCUCCUUGGUGCUGAGAAGAAAUGCCUUAUCCAGUUUGAUGUGUCUUUUGUAUGUUUAUAAAUAAAAUACCAGCUAUUA